UAAUUUAGUUAUUGUUAAUAUAUUAAAUAAUGUCAUUUGGUAUCAAAUUAAACAAGUUCUGUCCUAUAUUUUUUUUCAAAUUUCAUAAAACAAAUAUAUAAGAAUCGUACAUGAACGAGUUAAUAUGUCUACAUAGACACACAAGCGAACAAAUGCCACAUUAAGGCCCAGGCAUUUACUGCAUUACGUUGUGUUGCGUCUUAGAUAAAUUGUUGUGGUUCAAUUUCAUUUUUUUCAUCUAUAUCAUUUAUGAAUUCAAUGAACACACAUUAUUUAAACGUUCUAUGUGAAACUAUUUGUCGGGGCGCCCCUGUUUGUGACCCCCGCGCGCGCGCGCCGAAUGUAAACAGUAACGAACGGCAUUGUAGGCCUAGAAAAGAGAGAGCCGUAAUGCAGAAGAGAAGUUGUGUAUUCUUUCGGUGUACACAUGCAUUUUCAAUUUGCUGUGAAACAUAUGAACAUGCACAGGGAACAAUACUACAUAUUUGUUUAAGAAGGAUAUUUUUCUCGUGUGAAUCGUUUACGAGGAAAUUCUGACAGCCACACUUAUGUCGACGAUCAGCCGUUGAUAAGCUACGAGUAAUAAAGGAGAAAAGAUGGACAUUAAAGUGUGUGAUUUAUGUGGAUGUUACUGAAGAAGCUCAAAACAGACUCUUGUUACCACAUGGCUUUUACCGGUACCUGUUGAUUCUUGUGGGUCAGCUCCUGAGAUUAACCUGUCACCUCUAUCCACAUGCAUAUUCCUUGUGUUCUACAGACUAUUUACUGGUAAUUCAAAUUAAAUCCGAUAAUGCAUGAACAAUAAUGGAACUUGAAGAAAGCAUCAUGCCAUGUUGUGGUUUGUGUUUGAUAAGAAAUUAUGAAAACAAAAUUAAGGCUGUUUAAAGAAAUUCAUAAUUGCUGUGAAAAUUUGUUUUUCAAUAAAAGUAUACAAUUAUGUU